rnacentral:lncRNA from 1 species
GCCAGAUAGGUUUCUCCAGAGUCAAGAGCAUCAUAAGCCAGGAAUCAAGCAAGUGCAAAAUUGUGGAAGUAUGGUCGAAGUCUACACCGCGGCUUGCAACACAGGUUGUUUGACAGGAUGGGACGAAGAACAGGAUAGGUUGGUCUGACAAAGAAACACGACGUUGGUUGCCUGGAACACGAUCAUCAUGGGACAUGCACGUCUUCUAUCAGAUGCAACGAGAAGCUGGCCUGCCUCCAAACGCUGAGACUUUGCAUGGAGCAGCAAAACGUCGUUUCCUGGGAACAACCUUUGCUCUUGACUGCUACGAGCAAGCCGCAGCCAAACGCUCAGACUUUCAUGGUGGCGCUCAAGGCACGCGGCGACUUAGCAGAGAAGAGCAGAUCUGGGAGAGAAAUCUGGAGGGAAUCCACUACUCAGCGUGGUCGCUCAAUGAGAGAAAAGCUUUUCUUGGGAGGUCGGUAAACUUUGCAAGGAAAGAGUGUCAUGCAAGGUUGAUGGAGCCGUCAAUUAAAGAUGGUACCUCAAAAGAUGCGAAAGGAUCCUAGCUGGCACACCUUGGUGAAGAGAUAAAAAAUAUG